AAGUCGUAACAAGGUAACCGUAGGUGAACCUGCGGUUGGAUCAUUAAUAAAUUUUCGUUUUUCCUCCCUUCUAACCAAGGUCGAGGAAAUUCAACCCAACCCUGUGAAUUGUUUAAUUGUAUUUUUGGGUAAGUUAGGGUUCUCGGACCUUAGUAAUUGGGGUGAAAAGACUUUAGGGUCUUUUUUUCCACCUUGCCCAUAUUUUAUUUAAGCUCUAGUAGAAUAACUUGUCUUUAAAAAACCUUAAUCUUAACCGAUUAAAUUUCUUAAUUGAAAACAACUUUUGACAACGGAUCUCUAGGCUCUC
rnacentral:misc_RNA from 1 species